CCUACGGGUGGCAGCAGUGAGGAAUAUUGGUCAAUGGGCGAGAGCCUGAACCAGCCAAGUCGCGUGAGGGAGUACUGCCCUAUGGGUUGUAAACCUCUUUUGUCGGGGAGCAAAAUCCGGACGUGUCCGGCUGUGAGAGUACCCUAAGAAAAAGCAUCGGCUAACUCCGUGCCAGCCGCCGCGGUAAUACGGAGGAUGCGAGCGUUAUCCGGAUUUAUUGGGUUUAAAGGGUGCGCAGGCGGAUUUUUAAGUCAGCGGUCAAAUCGUGGGGCUCAACCCCAUCCAGCCGUUUGAACUGGGGAUCUAGAGUGUGCGAGGGGGAUGCGGGAUGCGGGGGGGAGCGGGGGAAUGCAUAGAUAUCACGCAGAACCGCGAUUGCGAAGGCAGCAUACCGGUGCACAACUGACGCUCAGGCACGAAAGCGUGGGUAUCGAACAGGAUUAGAUACCCUUGUAGUCC
rnacentral:rRNA from 1 species